rnacentral:rRNA from 1 species
CCUACGGGAGGCAGCAGUGGGGAAUAUUGCGCAAUGAGCGAAAGCCUGACGCAGCGACGCCGCGUGAGGGAUGAAGGUCUUCGGAUCGUAAACCUCUGUCAGCAGGGAAGAACGGUCACUGUGCUAAUCAGCAGUGAAUUGACGGUACCUGCAAAGGAAGCACCGGCUAACUCCGUGCCAGCAGCCGCGGUAAUACGGAGGGUGCGAGCGUUAAUCGGAAUUACUGGGCGUAAAGCGCUCGUAGGCGGUAUGUCAAGUCAAGGGUGAAAUCCCCGCGCGAAACGUGGGAACUGCCUUUGAAACUAGCAAACUGGAGUGUGUGAGAGGAUAGUGGAAUUCCAGGUGUAGGAGUGAAAGCCGUAGAUAUCUGGAGGAACAUCAGUGGCGAAGGCGACUAUCUGGCACAUAACUGACGCUGAGGAGCGAAAGCGUGGGUAGCAAACAGGAUUAGAUACCCCAGUAGUC